GUACUCCCCAGGCGGAAUACUUAAAACGUUAGCGACGGCACCCGGAGGAUUAAAACUCCAGACACCAAGUAUUCAUCGUUUAGGGCUAGGACUACCGGGGUAUCUAAUCCCGUUUGCUCCCCUAGCUUUCGCGCCUCAGCGUCAGUGUCAGCCCAGCAACCCGUCUUCACCUCAGGUGUUCCUCUUGAUAUCUACGCAUUUCACCGCUACACCAAGAAUUCCGAUUGCCCCUCCUGCACUCUAGCACGACAGUAUCACUUGGCCGUUCCGAGUUAAGCCCGGAGAUUUCACAAGUGACUUGUCACGCCGCCUACGCGCCCUUUACGCCCAGUAAAUCCGAACAACGCUUGCCCCCUACGUAUUACCGCGGCUGCUGGCACGUAGUUAGCCGGGGCUUACAAAUGGUACCGUCAUUUGUUUCUUCCCAUUCUUACGAAGUUUACAUUCCGAAAAACUUCAUCCUUCACGCGGCGUUGCUGGGUCAGGCUUGCGCCCAU
rnacentral:rRNA from 1 species